rnacentral:SRP_RNA from 1 species
GCCGGGCGUGGUGGCUCAUGCCUGUAAUCCCAGCACUUUGGGAGGCUGAGGCGGGUGGAUCACCUGAGGUCAGGAGUUCAAGACCAGCCUGGCCAACAGGGUGAAACCUUGUCUCUA